rnacentral:lncRNA from 1 species
UACUUGUUACUAGGUAAGGAGAUAAUAAAAAUCCGACAGAGAGAACAUCUGUCAUUGGUUAAGAUGAACAUAUCAAGGAUGACUCGCUAAGGAAAAGCCAUGAGGGAGUAUUCAUUACCGGUUACUGGGUAUGAAUAACCUUGCUGGGGAAAACUGCAAAGAAUAGGAUUUACAACUACCAGUUACUAGGCAGAAGACCAAGGGUGAGAGUAUUCGUCAUCGGUUAAGAUGAAUAUAUCAAGGAUGAC